rnacentral:rRNA from 1 species
GACGAACGCUGGCGGCGUGCUUAACACAUGCAAGUCGAACGAUGAAGCCCAGCUUGCUGGGUGGAUUAGUGGCGAACGGGUGAGUAACACGUGAGUAACCUGCCCUGGACUCUGGGAUAACCCCGAGAAAUCGGAGCUAAUACCGGAUAGGACCUUUCCUCGCAUGAGGUUUGGUGGAAAGUUUUUCGGUUUGGGAUGGACUCGCGGCCUAUCAGCUUGUUGGUGAGGUAAUGGCUCACCAAGGCGUCGACGGGUAGCCGGCCUGAGAGGGUGGCCGGCCACACUGGGACUUGGACACGGCCCAGACUCCUACGGGAGGCAGCAGUGGAGAAUAUUGCACAAUGGGCGCAAACCUGAUGCAGCAACGCCGCGUGCGGGAUGACGGCCUUCGGGUUGUAAACCGCUUUUAGUAGGGAAGAAGCCUUCGGGUGACGGUACCUGCAGAAAAAGGACCGGCUAACUACGUGCCAGCAGCCGCCGUAAGAC